rnacentral:rRNA from 1 species
UAAGGAGGUUGGAAACGUUGAUCGGAAUUACUGGGCGUAAAGCGCACGUAGGUGGUUUUGCAAGUCGGAUGUGAAAGCCCUGGGCUUAACCUGGGAAUUGCAUUCGAUACUGCUUGACUAGAGUAUGGUAGAGGGAAGUGGAAUUUACGGUGUAGCGGUGAAAUGCGUAGAUAUCGGAAGGAACACCAGUGGCGAAGGAGACUUCCGGUGCCAAUACUGACAGUAAGGUUCGAAAGCGUGGGUAGCAAACAGG